CUUAAGCUACUUUCAACAAAAGUUGGUAAUUAUAAAGCUACUUCCUCACUUUCCUCUCUCUUACCUUAGCAAUAAAGCCAUGAAGAAGAUCCCAUGCCUCAUUGUAUUAAGCUCAACCUGGUCUAUUGUCUGAAUAACAGAGCUCUCUUCCAAUCUCUUGUCAUACAUAAAAAAGAAGUGGUGUAUUUGUUCUGUUCUAUCUAUGGCAUAUAUCCCACCACACAUGCGGAAAAACAAAGGGGUUCGGUCUCCGACAGCUGCGAUGCUAGUUCCUAGGUUCCAGAAGAAUCUUAACCUCGGACCAAAACACAGCAUGGACAAGAGUGGCAAGAUUGUUUAUGCAGACACUGCGAUAUCGAGAUGGUUUGCUGUUGGCUUGGAUGGCAAGGAAACAGAGGGCCCAGCUCCCGUUCUUCUUCAGCGAGUACCCGUGGGGAUGAUUGAGCGGAUAAAUGGAGAGAAGCCUCUGGCGCUAGUGAGAAGUAGCCAUCUCAGUGAGGGGCAGAGGACUCGGGAUAGCUCAGACAAGCCAUGGACUUGCCUUAUUGAAAAGAUCCUGCCGGACUUAAUCCGCUCUUCUGAAAUCAUGAGGGGCCAAAUGGAAGCAGAAGGCUGGAACUCGAAGGAAGUAAAACCAAGACUCAUCGCGAGAGUCGGAAAAAUCCUUUUUAUCCCGAGGAGGCCUUCCAUUUGCGAGGAAGAUCUGAAUAAAGAUUCAAUCAACGAAGCCACCUUGAAACAGUUGAAUAGAAUCUUCUAUGCCAAUAUCCCUGCUUCGUAUAUGAAGAGCAUUGUGGACGAAGUUGUUCCGAAGAUUGGGGUCAAAUUCGAAGAUCUAAAGGAUGUAUACCAUGUAAAGUUGUCCGACAAAUCUCGACCUGAAGCAACUAUCUCAUGCAAAUGCAGUGUCAUGAAAGAUGAGAAUCGGCUUGAACUCUAUAAGCUUCAGUUAAACCAAAUCCGCCCCAUGGUGCAUGAUAUCUCAUGCAUUGAGAAAAAUCUCGACCUAAGGCUCAUGCUCUUCACCAAGAGAACUUUAACAUCUCUUCGUGAUGAUGAGGAGGAGAGCAUCAAGGCUUUGAUUGCUUCGGCAAUAUUAGACCCGACUUCGAUGGGAGGUCUGAGAUGGCCAUUUGGUAAGGCCUCAUCCCCUGGGGAUAGAUACAGAGUCAUUGGCGUGUGGCAUGCGGUUUCACGAGUUUAUGUGAGCCCUUCGAUGGGACUUAAGGUCAGAGAUGCAGAUUGGUUUGAUUUCAAGACAUCAGUCGGGGAAACCACGGGGGAGAUCACACUCGGGUUGAAGGGAAUCACUUCAGAGUUACUGGGAAAGAAGCUCGAGAUCAAUUCGGUAUCUGAUAUGCUCGAGAACAUAUUGAAGCUGCUGUGGGAGCAUUUCUUGCAUUUCCAAGCAGUUCACAAUGGGAAUACUGCUGCUAUGGAUAUUCCCAUGUUCUCGUGAUUGCUCUCUGCUCUCAACGUGUUAUGUUUCACAAGUAUCUAAUGCUUCGGUUGGUUAAGUUCAUGUAAACAUUUACGGUCGUGCUUUGCUAUCAGCCCAGUGUUACCCGUGCGUAAAUGCUCAUACCCGUGAAUGUAUGAGAAGAUGUUUAAGCAGUUACUAUUAAAACAGAAAAGAAAGCAAAUUAAAAUCACACAAAUUGAUGGAUAGCAAAUUGAAAGCCAAAUACCACUCCCCCAGGAAAUGAAGACCAGAGGUUAGCCGCCAACAAGCUUGAAGUGCAUCCGUUACUCAGCAAUGGUUGGUGUGUGGAUUGUAAAUUCGAUUACCAAUGAUAAUUGAGUCCUCGAAGGCAUGUUCAGGCGCUACUACCAAUAACAUCCCGAAGAUCUUCGCCUUCAAAUUCCUCCUUGACUGCCUCGAAUUCCGAUGAAGGUGGCAACGGCCACAUGUCCGUAGCGAAAGGGUUCGACGACAUCGUCGAUAACUCAUCAACUGGACAACCCCAUUACGUCGUACUCACCGACAUUGAGCAACUGGUUGGAGUUGUGGCGAAGAACCAGGUCGGGGCGAACGAGGCCAAUCUAUGGGGCACUAAUCGGCUCAGUAAUCCCGCAGGAUCGAGUAUAAGGGGAUUCCUCUAUAACUGCUGAGUUCGUUCCAAUUCCACUUUCUCUUAAGAUGAUAAACAUCGUUGAUAAUAUUUGAAAUGAAGUGAAAAAAUAUAACUUCGGUUACUAGCACAUUAUCAUAUGAAAUGAAUCAAUAUCGUCCAUAAUUUGGAUUAUAUGGUACUA